rfam:Takifugu rubripes genomic scaffold, scaffold_325
GUGUUCUAUCCUUCAUUCCACCGGAGUCUGUAUGUGUAUUUAACCAGAUUUCAGUGGUGUGAAGUGUAAGAGACA